rnacentral:lncRNA from 1 species
CGCAGGCUGGAAAGUCUGAUUGAAGUACCACAGAGUUGAUUGACAUACCACUUAUUUCCUGUAAGGAGGCUCAAUGUUCACCACUAGCAAGACAGCUAAAGUGACGGCAGACACUCAUCACAUCAGCUGAGUAAUGACUGCAGCCUGUGAAACAGGUCUGAGGGGCGCAGGAGUUCUGACAGCUUCAGCAGAUGCAACAGCUUCGUUUCAGUUCAAAAGUCGUUAAAAUAAUUCCUAAAUGCUGAAACUCAGAAGAAAAGAUGAGGCCAAAGGCCCCCCCUUCACUGGGGCCUUAGGUACCCAAGGAUCUUCGCUAGGUGCCUGGAAGGCCUUUGGAAUCAUCCAGUAA